rnacentral:lncRNA from 1 species
CUGCUCCCCCCGUGGGCCAGCCCCCAGCCUCCUUAGCACCCACAGCUACUCUGAGCUGGAGCCUGCAGAGUGCAAAGCACACUCGUCUCACAACCUCGUGGCGUCCGGGGCGCCUCCGACCCCAGGGCUUCCUUCCCAGGCAGGCCUCCGCCUCCGCCCCCACUCGCCCCUCACCCCAUGAAAGAGUAAUGGUGCAAAAUUCGUUGGGGAGAAAAACAGGAAGUGGAGAGCGAGACUGCAGAAGCGCUCCGCAGGCAAGUGUGGCAGCCCGUCCACCGCAGCCUUACGGGAAAGUGGUCAGGGGCAGUCCCGGUCUGACUGCGGGGGCGGGGGAGCCCAGGGCAAGCGGGGAGUCCGGCGAGGACCCUGCUGCCAGGGGCUUUGUUUUCAGACUGAACUUCACACCUGUACCCGGCCUCUGACAUCUUAGCUCACCUUCUCCCAGCAGCUCCCCAAGGUUGAGAUCACUACCCCAUUUUACAGACAGGCAGGUGCACUCAGAGAAGUGAAGUGACUUGGCCAAGGUCACACAGCCUUUCCCACGGCGGGGUCAUGGCUCCUCGAUUCUUUCUCAGGCUUUGAUUUCUAUUUGUGGUAUGUUUUUGUUCUAGGCCUCUGAGCGCGGUGGGUGGGGAUGGGGGGCAGGGAGUGCUGUUUCUGGCUUCUCAGCACAUCCUCAUUCUCGGCUGGUGGUAAGAAAGGGGAGAGGGUCAGCUGCUGAGGACCGUCCUCCCUGGGGGUUCGUGGAAUGUGUGAGCUGGGAGGACAGGUGCCCCAGCCUCUCUCUUGGAGAAGAGGAGAAGGAGCCUGGGGAGAAGGCACCCUGCUGACAACCGCAGAGGGAGGGCACCAACCCCCAGCACAAACUCAGCAGGUGGCUGCUGAAGGAAUCCAGGAAAUAACAUCCCAAAAUAUGCCGCAUUGCUAUGAUGAUGACUUCAAACUGAAGGCAUUUGGAAAACAGCAAAUACACAAAGGGGCUUUUCCUGGAUUUCUCUUAUCCGAUUAAAGGUAGGUUGUCCGGAAGGAAGCUAAUUGUCAUAAAAACCCUCCCUGGGAAUUUUUAUCUAUCAGAGAAGAUGAACAUGCAUCCAGAGUCCAAUCUAGAAGGGACUGGAAGUUAACACUCUGUCCGGACAGGCUCUUAUUUAUUCUUUUCAUUUUGCCAGAAGGAGUGGAGGCACAACCCCAUCAUUGCUUAAAAACAAUGAUGAUAUAGGCCGGGCGCAGUGGCUCACACCUGUAAACCCAGCACUUUGGGAGGCUGAGGCAGGUGGAUCACGAGGUCAGGAGAUGGAGACCAUCCUGGCUAACACGGUGAAACCCCAUCUCUACUAAAAAUACAAAAAAUUAGCCGGGCAUGGUGGCAGGCGCCUGUGAUCCCAGCUACUCAGGAGGCUGAGGCAGGAGAAUGAGGUGAACCCGAGACGCGAGCUUGCAGUGAGCCAAGGUGACACCACUGCACUCCAGUGCAGGCAACAGAACGAGACUCCAUCUCAAAAAAAAAAAAACAAUUAUGGUCUGAAGAUGAAAAUGUCCAUUCCCGUCCCUGCACCGCCAGGCUGAGGGGGUGGGAAGGAUCUAUACUCUGACCCCCAUCUGAGUCUUAAACCGCACAGACUCUCUGAGUAUGGAGUGGCACAGGCGCCUUCCCCGUAACAGUUCCAAGGAAGCAAAGUGAUCCAUGGAUCCAGUUUCCCCAGUGUCUUCCAGCAUAAGACUGGUGAGGAGCUGCCACCUGGGACACCCCCAGUGGCCCUCAUGUAACUGCCCAGAUAGAGCUGAUUUAUCAAGUCACGGAAAAUUAGCUGGGCAUGGUGGUGGGUGCCUGUAAUCCCAGCUACUUGGGAGGCUGAAACAGGAGAAUCACUUGAACCCAGGAGACGGAGAUUGCAGUGAGCUGAGAUGGUGCUGCUCUACUCCAGCCUGGGUGACAGAGCAAGACUCUGUCUCAAAACAAAACAAAACAAAACAAACAAACAAAAUGCUGGGGGUAGAAAUUGCAAAAG